GAUGAAGAACGUAGCGAAAUGCGAUAAGUAAUGUGAAUUGCAGAAUUCAGUGAAUCAUCGAAUGUUUGAACGCACAUUGCGCCCGUCAGUAUUCUGGCGGGCAUGCCUGUUCGAGCGUCAUUACGCCCCUCAAGUCCCCUGUGGACUUGGUGUUGGGGAUCGGCGAGGCUGGUUUUCCAGCACAGCCGUCCCUUAAAUUAAUUGGCGGUCUCGCCGUGGCCCUCCUGUGCGCAGUAGUAAAACACUCGCCACAGGAGCCCGGCGCGGUCCACUGCCGUAAAACCCCCCAACUUUUUAUAGUUGACCUCGAAUCAGGUAGGACUACCCGCUGAACUUAAGCAUAUCAAUAAGCGGAGGA
rnacentral:misc_RNA from 1 species